GAGUUUUUCUUUCCACGGUUCAUUUUAACAACCUUAACAUUUAUUUCAAUUUCCUCAAUAAGUUAGAAAAAGAGAGAAAAAAACUGUUAAAUCUGUGCUUUCUAGGUGCAAGAGUGCACAUCCAGGUGCUCCCUGCAUGUGGGUGGGUCCUGUGUGUGUGUGCGCACGCCAGAGAGAGUGUGUGAGCAGACGUUCACAUGUGGACUGCUUCGACUCGUCGGAGGAUGCUUGCCGGCUCUCUGCUCGCAUGCUCUCGCUGCUCCGAUCAUGCAUCUGCUUUACUAAAGUGGGAUAAAAAAUACAUAUAUAUAUAUAUAUAUAAAAAAUGUGUUUCUUUCACUCGCUCGCACAUGUGGACUGGUUUUUGAGACAGGGGCACGGAGACAGAAGCGGGGCUGCAGGGACGCUGCUAAGAGAGGUGCAAUUGCCGCAAAGAUGUUUUUCUUAGACGCUCCAGCAGACAGGAAUCCACUGGCAAGAAGAAAGCCCCGGUCUUCCCCACGAGAGCAAGAGUACAAAGCCCCCCAGUCUGCACACAGCAGAUGCGGGGAAAGCUAGUCCAUCUGCCACCAGCUUGCCGAGCCACAUGGGCCUGAGAGCGCUAAUGCAAGUGGAGUGAGGUGUUUAUUCCCUCCAUGACUCUUCUUCUGGGGGUUUCUGCUACCAAGGUCAGGGGAUACAAGCAAGCCCACCAGCGCACUGAUGAGGUGGCAGCAGAAAAACGGGGGAGAGAAACAGACAUGUGGAGUGGGUACAGUGAGGAGGGUGGGGGUGGCAGCUGGUUACCAACCUUGGCAAGAGCAGCAGGAGCGUCAUGACAACGGAAGCGGAGGACGUUGACUACCAUUUCAUCUCAACGCAGCGAUUUCAGCGGUUUGCACACAACUACAGAGACUUUUGAAACCAUUCAUUUUCAAUUAAGGUUGCGACAAAGUGAAUUGCUUUGGGGUAAUUAGAUACAGACAGGCAGAGUUGGUUUACGCGUCACUUCAUCACACAAGAUGGUGAGAAAGAAUAGCUUGAGAGUAGCAGCAAUUGCUUGACAUUAAACUGACUAAUCUCCGGGUACUCUGAGCAUUAGGCAUAUUUCAAGUUGCACCUAGAAACUGGACAAUGAUUGAGGUUGACAUUUUUUCAACUUAAUUGGCUUUGACCAGUAGUGCUUUGGAAGCGCAAAUAAAAAUUUCCAGCACUGAAUGAACCAUACAACACUAGUAGGUUGUGAUUGUCAAUCACUCUUCAGUGUGGACACUGUUACACAGUGAAGACUCAAAUAUGGCCAUUUUCCAUAAGAGUGAGGUCUUUGAAGAUGAAAUCAGAUGAAAGACUAAAGCUGUUGGAAAAUAUGUAAAAGGAAAAUAUUUCCCAGAUUUGCCUGCUGUUUAUUCAGGCUGUCACAAAAGAAUUGCUUUGUUUAUCUAUUUUACAAAUUUAAAAGUCAAUUAAGAGUCUAUUUUCUUUAGGAGUAAAGGAUAAACCCGGCAGUUAACAGCACCUUGCACACAGUCUUGUUGUAUGAUGCUAUAACAAUUCGUUGUCUUUGUGACGUCACCUCUGCUUCUUGAAUAAACAAUUAAAUUAGAAUCCACAACAGGAAGAGUAGAAAAUUACAUGUUGAAUUCUGCCAAUAGUAGUACUUAAAAAGAACUAAGAAUUAGUAAAAUCAGUAUCAGCUUAAAAAGCAGCCACACAAAGUUUUCGCUUCCUGAAAAUUUUUAAAUUGGGCACAACAUUCAUGGCAUCUCUAGUAGUAUUUAGUUUUCCCUUGUUGUUAUUCUUUUGACUUCCCUCAUCUCACAUUAAAUCUAAUACUAUUGUCACUUUGCAAGAAAAAAAAUCCAAUGUUUCAAAAAAUAAAGAAACCCACAUGCAUGAAAUAAAGCAUACCCCUAUUCAUUCUUUGUCAAUCAAA